UACGUAGGGACCAAGCGUUGUUCGGAUUUACUGGGCGUAAAGGGCGCGUAGGCGGCAAUUCAAGUCAGCUGUGAAAUCUCCGAGCUUAACUCGGAACGGUCAGCUGAUACUGCUUUGCUAGAGUGCAGAAGGGGCAAUCGGAAUUCUUGGUGUAGCGGUGAAAUGCGUAGAUAUCAAGAGGAACACCUGAGGUGAAGACGGGUUGCUGGGCUGACACUGACGCUGAGUGCGCGAAAGCUAGGGUAGCAAACGGGG
rnacentral:rRNA from 1 species